AGAGUUUGAUCCUGGCUCAGGACGAACGCUGGCGGCGUGCCUAAUACAUGCAAGUCGAGCGGAAUGAUGAAGAAGCUUGCUUCUUCUGAUUUUAGCGGCGGACGGGUGAGUAACACGUGGGCAACCUACCUUGUAGAUUGGGAUAACUCCGGGAAACCGGGGCUAAUACCGAAUAAUCCAUUUUGCUUCAUGGCAAGAUGUUGAAAGGCGGCUUCGGCUGUCACUACGAGAUGGGCCCGCGGCGUAUUAGCUAGUUGGUAGGGUAACGGCCUACCAAGGCGACGAUACGUAGCCGACCUGAGAGGGUGAUCGGCCACACUGGGACUGAGACACGGCCCAGACUCCUACGGGAGGCAGCAGUAGGGAAUCUUCCACAAUGGACGAAAGUCUGAUGGAGCAACGCCGCGUGAGUGAAGAAGGUUUUCGGAUCGUAAAACUCUGUUGUAAGGGAAGAACACGUACGAGAGUAACUGCUCGUACCUUGACGGUACCUUAUUAGAAAGCCACGGCUAACUACGUGCCAGCAGCCGCGGUAAUACGUAGGUGGCAAGCGUUGUCCGGAAUUAUUGGGCGU
rnacentral:rRNA from 1 species